rnacentral:rRNA from 1 species
UACGUAGGGCGCAAGCGUUGUCCGGAAUUAUUGGGCGUAAAGAGCUCGUAGGCGGCUUGUCACGUCGGGUGUGAAAGCCCGGGGCUUAACCCCGGGUCUGCAUUCGAUACGGGCUAGCUAGAGUGUGGUAGGGGAGAUCGGAAUUCCUGGUGUAGCGGUGAAAUGCGCAGAUAUCAGGAGGAACACCGGUGGCGAAGGCGGAUCUCUGGGCCAUUACUGACACUGAGGGACGAAAGCUAGGGGAGCGAAUGGG